rnacentral:ncRNA from 1 species
UUGAAACAUCGGCAAACCAUCCGAAAGGGUGGGACGCAAAGCCACUGGCCUAAAUUCCGAUACGGAAUACGGCGGCAGGGUUGCUCUC